rnacentral:rRNA from 1 species
UACGUAGGGGGCAAGCGUUGUCCGGAUUUAUUGGGCGUAAAGAGCGUGUAGGCGGCUUUACAGGUCCGUUGUGAAAACUCGAGGCUCAACCUCGAGACGCCGGUGGAAACCGUAAAGCUAGAGUCCGGAAGAGGAGAGUGGAAUUCCUGGUGUAGCGGUGAAAUGCGCAGAUAUCAGGAGGAACACCCGUGGCGAAGGCGGUUCUCUGGGACGGUACUGACGCUGAGACGCGAAAGCGUGGGGAGCGAACAGG